UACGUAGGGUGCGAGCGUUAAUCGGAAUUACUGGGCGUAAAGUGUGCGCAGGUGGCCGCGCAAGUCGAGUGUGAAAUCCCCGGGCUUAACUUGGGAAUUGCGCUCGAAACUACGUGGCUCGAGUAUGGCAGAGGAAGGUGGAAUUCCACGUGUAGCGGUGAAAGUGCGUAGAGAUGUGGAGGAACACCAGUGGCGAAGGCGGCUCUCUGGACUGUAACGUGACGCUGAGCG
rnacentral:rRNA from 1 species